AUUGAACGCUGGCGGCAGGCCUAACACAUGCAAGUCGAGCGGAUGAAGGGAGCUUGCUCCUGGUUUCAGCGGCGGACGGGUGGGUAAUGCCUAGGAAUCUGCCUGGCAGUGGGGGAUAACGUCCGGAAACGGGCGCUAAUACGGCAUACGUCCUGAGGGAGAAAGGGGGGGAUCUUCGGACCUCACGCUAUCGGAUGAGCCGAGGUCGGAUUAGCUAGUUGGUGGGGUAAAGGCCUACCAAGGCGACGAUCCGUAACUGGUCUGAGAGGAUGAUCAGUCACACUGGAACUGAGACACGGUCCAGACUCCUACGGGAGGCAGCAGUGGGGAAUAUUGGACAAUGGGCGAAAGCCUGAUCCAGCCAUGCCGCGUGUGUGAAGAAGGUCUUCGGAUUGUAAAGCACUUUAAGUUGGGAGGAAGGGCAGUAAGUUAAUACCUUGCUGUUUUGACGUUACCAACAGAAUAAGCACCGGCUAACUUCGUG
rnacentral:rRNA from 1 species